GGAGGAUUGGCCGAGUGGUAAGGCACCGGCUUGCUAAGCCGUGGUCGGGGUCCGCCCCGCGCGCGUUCGAUCCGCGCAUCCUCCG
rnacentral:tRNA from 2 species